rnacentral:tRNA from 1 species
GGGCAGGUGGCACAAUGGGUCAGUGCAUCUGGCUGUUAACCAGAAGGUUGGUGGUUCGAGCUCAGCCAGGCAGCCAUCCUGCCUG